rnacentral:rRNA from 1 species
CUUCGGGAAACGGAUUAGCGGCGGACGGGUGAGUAACACGUGGGUAACCUGCCUCAUAGAGUGGAAUAGCCUUCCGAAAGGAAGAUUAAUACCGCAUAACGUUGAAAGAUGGCAUCAUCAUUCAACCAAAGGAGCAAUCCGCUAUGAGAUGGACCCGCGGCGCAUUAGCUAGUUGGUGGGGUAACGGCCUACCAAGGCGACGAUGCGUAGCCGACCUGAGAGGGUGAUCGGCCACAUUGGGACUGAGACACGGCCCAGACUCCUACGGGAGGCAGCAGUGGGGAAUAUUGCACAAUGGGGGAAACCCUGAUGCAGCAACGCCGCGUGAGUGAUGAAGGUUUUCGGAUCGUAAAGCUCUGUCUUUGGGGAAGAUAAUGACGGUACCCAAGGAGGAAGCCACGGCUAACUACGUGCCAGCAGCCGCGGUAAUACGUAGGUGGCGAGCGUUAUCCGGAUUUACUGGGCGUAAAGGGAGCGUAGGCGGAUGAUUAAGUGGGAUGUGAAAUACCCGGGCUCAACUUGGGUGCUGCAUUCCAAACUGGUUAUCUAGAGUGCAGGAGAGGAGAGUGGAAUUCCUAGUGUAGCGGUGAAAUGCGUAGAGAUUAGGAAGAACACCAGUGGCGAAGGCGACUCUCUGGACUGUAACUGACGCUGAGGCUCGA